GGGCCCGGGGCGGCCGCUGGUUGGCUCGCGCGCCGCCCUCGCCUCCAAUCCCCGGUGCCUGCCCUAAUUUCCUGAUCCAGGGAACCUGCCGCCGCAGCAGCUGUGCGCUCCCUACAGUCAUUACUGUACCUUCCCGGCAGCCGCCAGCAGUAGAUGCAGCAGAAGCAGCAGCAGCAGUUAGCACUGAUGCAACUACUGAGGCUAUUGCCACCGCCUUCCCACUAACGCGGCUUACAGCCCGGGGGGGACUUGCAGUUUCCAGGGGCAACAAGCGUCUCUCUACCACCCUCUCCUGCGCCUCAAAGGAGGCUGGUCCUGUGAGGCUGGAAAGGUACAGUCUUGACAAGGAACAAAAGACGUCUGUAUAUGAAGAAAUGACAGAUGACCAUGUGUUAAGUGUCAGCCUUGAUGGAUUUAUACAAGAAGGCCAAAGCAACUCAAGGAAGGGAGAGACCCCUGGAAUCCUCAGGACCUUUUGGUGGAGGCCCCGUAGUUGAUGCAAAAGACUGUCAUAUGAACCUGAAAGGGUAACUGAAACCGAAGAAAGGACCCUAGUGUCUAGCCAAAGACAUGCCACAAGGGGUGAGAAGGAGCCGACGUCUCAGCGAACAGGGCACGAGACCAGCUGUGCGUGGCCAGCCUCUGCUUUAGUCCCAAAAGGAAAAGAAACUCGCAGGAGACAGUGAAUCUCAGACUCUUCUGAGGUUAUGAGCAAGAGGUCCCUGGAUCCAAGAGGGAACCUGGCAGCAGGGGUUCCUGGGGAUCAUAUCUGGCACUGGCGAUGAUUGGCUCCACCAAUCAGUGAGGAAGGGAUCCUACUGACCCCAGCCCCCGGACCAACUUCAGUGAAGAGACAGAGACUAAGAGGUGAUGGAGGCCUGGUUCCUCAUGCACAGACAAUUAUGGUACUUAAUUUGGAACUGCAGAAAGCUUUGGUUCACGCACCUGAAAAGCUAAAGCUGACCGGGAAGUUAUGCUUAGAGAAGAAAAAGAGGGAAGAGCCUCUUAGGUAACUUGAAGAGCAUAAAGGAUCCAAUGAUAAAAACCACUGCCCUGAAGUGACAUGUGCUACUUCUGGGCUGAGGAUUAAACUGCUGACAUGACACCCUCGAGAUCUCUCUUUUUCCCCUCUGCCAUCACAUCCGAAAAUUCUCCAGAGUGGAUGCUUCAAUCAGCAUGGGUUUGGAGCUAAGAUGAUGAUGAUACUGAGAAGAGCCUGGGGCGGACUCAUUAUGAAAAAUAAACUUUUAUUGUUUUAAGCCACUGAAAAAAACAAAAAACACUGCCCUGAACUUUCCAAGGUGUAAUAAAUCUCUCUGCAUAAGACUCUCCAGUCGGGCUUCCCUGGUGGCGCAGUGGUUGAGAAUCUGCCUGCCAAUGCAGGGGACACGGGUUCGAGCCCCGGUCUGGGAAGAUCCCACAUGCCGCGGAGCAACUAGGCCCGUGAGCCACGACUACUGAGCCUGCGCGUCUGGAGCCUGUGCUCCGCAACAAGAGAGGCCGCGAUAGUGAGAGGCCCGCGCACUGCGAUGAAGAGUGGCCCCCGCUCGCCGCAACUAGAGAAAGCCCUCGCACAGAAACGAAGACCCAACACAGCCAUAAAUAAAUAAAUAAAUUUAUAAAAAACAAAAAACUCUCCAGUCACUGCCAAGACCAUCUCUCUACCGACCUUUCCGUGGCUCAGCAUUUUGUUGCAAUGCAUGAGCGAAGCUGGAAAACAGAGCCAAGUGACAAACUGUGAAGCAGCAGCUCAGCCUCACAGAGCAAGUGUGCUUUGUGCUAUUUCUGGCCAGAGCAGAUGUGGCCUUGAUGGACUACAGAUCCUGAAUUGGGAGCCAUGUGGAAAGAAGACUGGAUUGGACAUCAGAUUCGGGGUCCUGCUUGGGUUUCUUCCAGAUGACCCCACCAAUCAGCCAUCCGGUCUCAGAUUCCACAUAUGAGUGAGAUCAUAUGAUAUUCAUCAUUCUGUGUCUGACUUUCUGCAACAUGGAUUGACCUAGAGAUUAUCAUACUAAGUGAAGGGGAAUACGUGGCUUUCUCCUCACUUCUUUGCAUUUUUCCAGUGCCUUUGAUUUUGAAAGUACUACCAGAAUGAUGGCUGCAUUUUCAGUGGUGGAAAUUCUUGCUAUGUCUCAGAAGCAAGGAAUCACAGGAUAUCUACUUUCCAGUGGUGAUAUAUGACUCUCAUAAGUGAAAGCCACACCAUCAUUUGUAACACCCUAAUGAGUUUUUUUUCACAGAAACAGAACAGAGAUUCCUAAUGUUUCUUGGAACUUCCCAAAGAAAAGGGAAAGAAAAAAAAAAUUCAACUAAAUGCCCGUUUGUUAGCCCAGCAUUGGAAGGGAACAGCCUUAAAGAAUAAUUGGUCCCUCCUAAGAAACCAUUAAUAUAACAAAAGCUGUCAAAAGAUAUGAAGGAAGAAAGGAUGGUACUUUUUGGUUAUGAGGUGGGGUGACUGGAAAGCAGAAGGUGGAAUCAUCUAAAGGGCACUCACUCGCUUGUCUGGUGGUUGAUGCUGACUGUUGGCUGGGACCAACGUGGGGCUGUGGCUGGAACACCUACAUGUGGCCCUUCUUACGGCUGCUCAUCUUCCCCACAAUAUGGUGGCUGGGUUCCAAAGGUAGCCGCAAAGCAUUGCCCAGGUGCCAAGAGAGGAAAAAUGGACUCUAUCUCUUGAUGAUGGAGCAAAUACGGAAAAUUGCCCAGAUCCUCUUGGCUGCUCAGCUGAAUACUGAAGACAACCAUGAGACAUUUCGUUUUAGCUCAGUCAACAUUUUGUUCUUCAGAAAUUUGUUAAAGACUUGAAACUUUUUCCAAGUCCAUUCUCUCCCAUCACUACCACGCCAAAGUAACAAAAGGAGCAAGAAUCGAGGAAGUGUGGAAAGUGCAUGCGUGGAGGAUGGAUGACUUUCUUUGAUUUUGCCGAAAGGAGAGAUGAGAACAUGAUAAAUAAGGCAGAAGAAGAAUUGCUUUGACUGGAGAUUUCGAAACCGUAUCUCCCUCUUCCCCUGCAUUUUGAAUGUGGCUCCGUGUACAUCUGAAAGCUGGAGAUUAUUACAGAAGAUUGAGCAGAGUCCCCUGUGCUGUACAGCAGGUCCUUGUUGGUCUUCUGUGUUAUAUAUAGCAGUGUGUACACACUCUGCCCCUCUGUCGUCUCCUGCAUACCCACUGCCACUGUCCAGACGUCCUGCAUCCUUCUCCAGGACACUUCAGAACUUUCCAGGAGAGAAACCAAGAUCUCUGGCUCUCAGCACCAUCUCAGCACCUUGAAAAGCCAGCAACCAUCUCACUAGUCACAUGAGGGCACCAUCUUGGAAGCAAAUCCUCCAGCCCUCUGCUAAUCAUCAUUACCCACCAGCUACUCCCCAGCUAACACUGCAUGGAGGAGAGACAAGCCUUUCCCAGGAGUCUUGCCCAAGUUGAAGAUUUAUGAGGAAGAGGGAAAAAAUGCUAUUGUUUUAAGCCACUGUUUUAACUAAACUAUAUGACUUUAACUCUAAAGGGCCUGACUGUCCUCUGAAUCCCACAGUACCACUCAUCUGUCA